UACGUAGGGUGCGAGCGUUAGGCGGAAUCACUGGGCUUAAAGCGUGUGUAGGCGGAUGCCUAAGUGCUUUGUGAAAUCCCACGGCUCAACCGUGGAAUUGCUUGGCAUACUGGGUGUCUUGAGCCAUCUAGGGGCGAGCGGAACAAGUGGUGGAGCGGUGAAAUGCGUAGAUAUCACUUGGAACGCCAACGGUGAAAACAGCUCGCUGGGGAUGUGCUGACGCUGAGACACGAAAGCCAGGGGAGCGAACGGG
rnacentral:rRNA from 1 species